rnacentral:rRNA from 1 species
CAAAAACAUUUCCUAAAGUUACACCAUUUUAGGUACUCCCUGCCCAGUGAAUUAACUUAAACGGCCGCGGAAACCCGUGCAAAGGUAGCAUAAUCAUUUGCCCCUUAAUUAGGGGCUAGAAUGAAUGGAUUAACGAGAAAUUCCCUGUCUCUUAUUCACAAAUAAAAACUAUCCUCUAUGUGAAAAGACAUAGCUAACUCUAGAAGACAAGAAGACCCUACUGCACUUUAUUAUACUUGAUCGUUUUAACUAUCUCCCUAAUUUAGUUGGGGCGACACCGGAUACUCUCCCAUCCGACUUGUUAAAGGACCACACUCCUACUUAAUUGACCCUUUUAAGAUUUAAGGACAAGCCACCAUAGGGAUAACAGGCUAAUCCCCUCAUAGAGCCCUUAUCGACGAGGGGGGUUGGCACCUCGAUGUUGGCUUAGGGUAUCAUAUAGGUGUAGCCGCCUAUAAAUGAAGGUUUGUUCAACCUACUAAACCCUACGUGAUCUGAGU